rnacentral:misc_RNA from 1 species
GAAGAAUCCAACAGAUCCUAGGACAGACAGCACGACAAGUAUAACUCCUGAGAGGCCAAGCAACACCUUGGAUGAAAGGUAGAAAGAAGACGAAAUAUUUGAAUCUCCCAAAGCCACUGAUAUAUAGGCAAACAUAACGAGGUAGCUUACAGCAAUUGUCAGGAUAUCUGCGGUGCUUUCUCUUUUCAGUUCCUCCUCAAUCGAGCUCUCAGAUGAAAAAGAAAGAGUAAGGUUCCUGGACUGCACUAGUGGCAGCAGUUCCUCCUUAGCUAACUUGACAAA